rnacentral:rRNA from 1 species
UGAGGAAUUUUGCGCAAUGGGCGAAAGCCUGACGCAGCAACGCCGCGUGACUGAUUAAGCUCUGAGGAGUGUAAAAGUCUGUCGUAGAGGAAGAAACUAUCCGAUAAGAAUAUUGUCGGAUACUGACGGUACUCUAUGAGAAAGCUCCGGCUAACUCCGUGCCAGCAGCCGCGGUAAUACGGGGGGAGCAAGCGUUGUCCGGAAUCACUGGGCGUAAAGAGCGCGUAGGCGUCCUAGUAAGUUUCUGGUGAAAUACUCCUGCUCAACGGGAGAAUUGCUGGAGAUACUGUUAGGAUUGAGUUUAGAAGAGGGAAGUGGAAUUCCUGGUGUAGCGGUGAAAUGCGUAGAUAUCGAGAAGAACACCGAUGGCGAAGGCAGCUUCCAGUCUAACACUGACGCU